GUGGGAGGGGGCUUGCUCCCGAUAGCAGGGUGUCAGUCAGCUUAUUUUCAGCUGACACACCGCCAUCGGGAGCAAGCCCCCUCCCAC
rnacentral:misc_RNA from 1 species